rnacentral:misc_RNA from 1 species
UCUCCGUAGGUGAACCUGCGGAGGGAUCAUUACGGAGUCCAUGCCCUACCGGGUAGAUCUCCCACCCUAUGUUAUUAUUACUUUGUUGCUUUGGCGGGCCGUUAGGCUCCGGCCCGACUACCGGCCCCGGCUGGUAAGCGCCCGCCAGAGGACCCAAAACCCUGAAUAUUAGUGUCGUCUGAGUACUAUAUAAUAGUUAAAACUUUCAACAACGGAUCUCUUGGUUCUG